rnacentral:misc_RNA from 1 species
GAAACAGACACGUCUUGUUCGUCGGUAUCGGAAGACGACGACUACGACGAAGAAGAAGAAGAAUACGAACCUGGAUCGUCGUCUUCACAGGGCUGGAGGUAUAUUGAUGAUGAUUUUAGUGUCAGGGGCUCCGGUCAUUACACCGAUGACCAGUGGCACAAUCGUAACUUGAGGAGACGUAGAAACAGCAGCCUUGAAGACCUGUUUUCAUCAUGGUCUGAGUUCUCAAAUGGGAAGAACGUGGUGAAGCUCUGGGAUAACUUAGGGUUCGGAUUUGGAUUAAACCUUGAUAACCAGUCAAGAAAUUGCAUUUCUGUUUGCGAUAUGAAUAAAGAGGUCAAUGUAUUUUCCAUUUUCGGCGAGAAAAGCGAGAUUCCGGCCUUUUCCACGUCUUCUUCAUCGCCGGCAGUGAUCGUAUCCGCGGAAACAACCGUGUCCGGACACUUGCUGAGGGUGUGGGACACGCGGGUCGGGAGUCGGAUACCAGAAAUACUCGCAGAGUGGAAGCCGAGGUUGGGAAAAUUUGUAGGAAGAAGUGCUGGCGGCGGGGAGAAGGUUUACGUCAGGGAUGACAUAACGGGGAGGUUAACGGUGGGUGACAU